rnacentral:pre_miRNA from 1 species
UGGAUAGAUUAUUGUAUUCGAUUGUAUUCACGGCGUGAAAUAGGGGAUUACAGCGUUUUUAAAUGGAAAGUGAAACAAUUAACAUAAUAGACUCCU